AAUCAACGCUGGCGGCGUGCCUCAGACAUGCAAGUCGAACGCGAAAUUUCCCUUCGGGGAGAAAGUAGAGUGGCGCACGGGUGAGUAACACGUAGGUAAUUUGCCUUUGGGUGGGGAAUAACUCAGGGAAACUUGAGCUAAUACCGCAUAAUGCAGCGGCUCGACAUCGAGACAGUUGUUAAAGCGGGGGAUCGCAAGACCUCGCGCCUGAAGAGAAGCCUGCGGCAGAUUAGCUAGUUGGUAAGGUAAUGGCUUACCAAGGCGACGAUCUGUAACCGGCCUGAGAGGGCGGUCGGUCACACUGACACUGACAUACGGGUCAGACUCCUACGGGAGGCAGCAGUCGGGAAUUUUGGGCAAUGGGCGCAAGCCUGACCCAGCAACGCCGCGUGAAGGAUGAAAUCUUUC
rnacentral:rRNA from 1 species